GCUACGAGUCACCAUCGACCUUAAGGAAAAAUCGAGGUUAUAUUAAUACCCGUUGCUAUCAACUGACUUUAAUUUAACCGUCCGAUUAUUCCAUCGGAAUUGACCAAUCGCACUUGUCAAUUCUGACUAACGACUAAAUGCAAUUAGUCAAUUCCGUUGAAAUAACCAGCCGGUUAAGUUAACAAAGGUUGGUAGAAACGGACAUAAGUCUUUGGACCGUGCUCAGUAGAAAAAGCUUAUUAUACGCUUAGUGAUUAUCGUUUCUAAUUGUUUAUUCUCUUAAAUCCGACAAAGAUCUAAGAAUAUACUCCAAUCAUAGAUAAUAAUCACUAAAGGCUAGUAAUAGCUUUUUCUGCUGAACACUCAAUAACUAACCAAACAUAUGUUUGAUUUAAAAUUUUACAAUUCAACAUUGAAUGGAAAAGUUUUCUUGUGCAAGUAGUGCAGUUUAAUGAUAAGUUAAACGUUAAUUUAUCUCCAAGUUUUACAACUCAAUGGUGGCACCCAACCACCAAAGGCUAUCUCCAACUCCUUUGCAGCUGCCAAACAGAGACGGUCUUGAUAUGUCAACCGGCUCAUCCAAGCAUAAAUCAAUAUUCGACUUUGUCGAUAUCAUUUCCAUAAAAAGUCUGAGGUCGUCCGCGUAUCGAGUCAUUGGACCAUAUGACAGACAAUUAUGAAAAUUUUCAUUUUCGUUCGUUGGAUAAUGAUCUCUUGCUGGAAUAACUUCUGCAAUUUGAGAAUGAAAAUACGACAAAUUAUAAUAUGCGUUCAACGGAAAGUUUGGUGAGGGAAAUCUUGAACAAAUAAGAUGUUCAAUUUGAGCCAGAGAAGUUCAAUAUACUCGACGUGGGUUUUAAUCCGAAGAUCCCGCAGAACAGUCCCGGUAUUCUGAUGGAACCAGCGAAGUCUGAGCCAAUUCCGAUCAACGAAGCACCUGCUCCAAGUAAGGCGGCCUGAAAUAAGUAUUUCCUGAUAAACAACAAGUGCUGAUCAGGUGAUGCUAUUCACAAGCUACAUGGCUCCAUAAGCUUUGUUAAAGAAUAUACUCAAUUAAAAAAAAUCAAGGAAAAACGUCUACUUAAAAUAUGACGUUUAUACAAAAUAUUGACUUACCUCACCGCCGGACGAGCCGCCGGUUGUGUAUCUUGUAUCAUAAGGAUUAUACGAACGGCCGUACAAAAAAUUGACAGGCUUCUUUAAUGGUAAGCGGCACACCGUACAGUGGCUUUUGUUUCUUCAACGCUACGAUAUCAACAUUGCCGGAUUUUAAUAAUGCGUCACAAUUUUUGGCCUCAGCCAAAGCUUCUUCGUAUCUGUCGUCGACGACGGCAUUGAUGUAAGGAUUUACUUCCUUGAUUCGUUCAAU